AAAAAAUAUAGAAUUAAUUUUCUAUAAACCCAAUCUGUGUAUUCGUACCUGUUGCUUCCGUGGGACAGUGAACGCUUGUCGUUCCCUCUGGCGCUGUUCUUCGGAACGGAUGCUGGGGAGUGCCCACGGGAGGUCUACAUAAACUCUGUUUUUUCUGAACUCAGUCUGAAAACUGUUUUUAAAUAAACUUUAAAACUUUCAACAACGGAUCUCUUGGUUCUCGCAUCGAUGAAGAACGCAGCGAAAUGCGAUAAGUAGUGUGAAUUGCAGAAUUCAGUGAAUCAUCGAAUCUUUGAACGCACAUUGCGCCUCCUGGUAUUCCGGGAGGCAUGCCUGUUCGAGCGUCAUUAACACCCCUCAAGCUUAGGUUUACCUAUUGCUUGGUCUUGGAGAUGGAAGCCAAUUCGUUGGAGUCCUCUUCGAAAUCCAAUGGCGAAGACCCUUGCUCUCCCAAGUGUAAUAAUAACUUAUGUCACUGAAGGAAGCGAGAAAUCUUCCGCCGAAACCCCAAAUUGUUUAUGAUUGACCUCGAAUCAGGUAGGGAUACCCGCUGAACUUAAGCAUA
rnacentral:rRNA from 1 species